AAGUAUUCGGCCUUGGUGUGGAUGGCAGGUUGCUUCAUUAAUUUAGCAUAGGUGUUCCACAGGUUAUUGUGAACCAAGUAUAGCAAGUUGGAUUCACAAAGGCCACUUUCAAACACACCGAAGGCUGCACAGUCAUCAAUCUCUGGGCAGCGGGAAUACUUAUGACUAAAAUAGGCAACAUACUCUCGAAUGGGUUCAUCUUCACCGUGCCGAAUCAUGUAUAGAUCGUCC
rnacentral:lncRNA from 1 species